UGUACAAACUGCAUAAUGAUUAUGGAUACAGCUGGAAAUGGUCCAUGCUGUUUCGUGGAGUUUUGUGUACAUCACCAUGCAGCUGCAACACUAGCUGCUAUGAAUGGGCAGAAGAAAAACGGGUAAAGAAGUCAAAGUGAGUUGGGCAACAACCCCCAGCAGUCAAAAGAAAGAUAUAAGCAGUAGUACCGUUGUCAGCACACAGCAUUCACAAGAUCAUUUCCAUGUCUUUGUUGGUGAUCUCAGUCCAGAAAUUACAACUGAAGAUAUAAAAGCAGCUUUUGCUCCAUUUGGAAGACUAUCAGAUGCUCGAGUGGUAAAAUAUAUGGCAACUGGAAAGUCUAAGGAACAUGGCUUUGUCUCCUUUUACAACAAAUGGGAUGCUGAAAACACCAUUCAACAGACAGUGGCCAGUGGCUUAGUAGAAGACAAAUCAGAACUAACUGAGCAACCCAAAGACCUCCAGCUCCAAGGAGUGCAUAUGAGUCAAACACUAAACAGUUGUCAUAUGAAGUUGUGAGUCAGUCUAUUCCAAGCAACUGUACCGUGUACUCUGGUGGUGUUACUUUCAGGCUAACAGAACAGCUAAUGUGUCAGACUUUUCACCGUUUGGACAAAUAAUAGAAAUUCAAGUCUUUCUAGAUAAAGGAUAUUCAUUUGUUCGGUUCAAUUCCCAUGAAAGUACAGCACAUGCAGUUGUUUCUGUUAAUGGUACUACAAUGAAGAUCAUGUUGUGAAGUGCUAUUGAGGCAAAGAAACUCUUGAUAUGAAAAAUCCUGUGCAACAAUAGAAUCAAACUGGAUAUCCACAACCUUAUGGCCAGUGGGGCCAGUGGCAUGGAAAUGCACAACAGAUUGACCAGUAUAUGCCUAAUGGUUGGCAUGUACCUGCAUAUGCAAUGUAUGGGCAAGCAUGGAACCAGAAGAGAUUUAAUUAGAUACAGUCUUCUGCACCUUGGAUGGGACCAAAUUAUAGAGUACAGCCACCUCAGGGCCAGAAUGGCAGCAUGCUGCUUAAUGAGCCUGUGGGGUACUGAGUGGCAGAGUAUGAAACCCAGUAA